rfam:Mesocricetus auratus contig011827, whole genome shotgun sequence.
GGAGAAAUGGCUCAGUGGUUAAGAGCACUGGCUGUUCCUCUAGAGGACCUAGGUUCAAUUCCUAGAAUCCA